GAGGCAGCAGUGGGGAAUAUUGCACAAUGGGCGCAAGCCUGAUGCAGCCAUGCCGCGUGUGUGAAGAAGGCCUUCGGGUUGUAAAGCACUUUCAGCGGGGAGGAAGGCGUUAAGGUUAAUAACCUUGUCGAUUGACGUUACCCGCAGAAGAAGCACCGGCUAACUCCGUGCCAGCAGCCGCGGUAAUACGGAGGGUGCAAGCGUUAAUCGGAAUUACUGGGCGUAAAGCGCACGCAGGCGGUCUGUCAAGUCGG
rnacentral:rRNA from 1 species